CUUUUCUGAAACAGAAGGAAAUUUCCCUGAGUGUUUAAAUAUUUAUAAUGAAAGAUAUUAUUCCUUAAUAUCUAUUUCUUAAUAACUAGAAAUUUUCGAUUUAAUCAUCUAUAUCGUUGUCCCAUAGUCAAUAUUUCAAGGUUACACAUGGUAACAUCUAAUGUAAUUCUAUUAGUGACAAUGUUGACUAUUUGUGAGUGAAAAUAUGGAAAUAUAUUCAGCGCUGAUACAUUAAUUUGAAGAAAGUUAUAGCAAAAUAGGAUGGCGAAUAGAAAGAAGAAGCUACAAGUUCACCGGAGAAGCAGCCGAUCAUUUCCUACCUUGUUAAUCUUCGACAUUACGAAGGUUAUCGAGGUUUGGUUAUGAACUUACCAGAACGCCAUUUUCUAGUAGCAGUAGAGGGUCAAUGGAUCAUUGGAGCAGUUUUAGAAUAUGCACUUUUGCAUCCAUUCCUGGCUCUCAUAGAUGGUCAAUAUAAAAGAGUUAAGGUUAACAAAAAUACCCUAAAAAAUGUAGCAAUACCGAAGAGUUCUGUUUUGAAUAGACGGUACCUCCAACAGUACUGGUACGAAUCAAAAAACCUGUUUUAUGCCGAGCCACUCCAUAUACACAUUGGAAUUCAUCGGAUUCUUCGCGAUUCUGCUCGUUCUUCAAAUUUGAGAUUGCAUUAAAAGGGAAACAUUUUUGUCCAACCUAAAUCAUACCAAUAAGUUCUUUGAAUAAAUAGAGGAUUUUAUGUUACUUUUAUAUUUU